GAGAAACGGAUCGUCCCCAUUCACCACCACCCCGAGUCCUCCCCAUUUUGCUCCCUCGUCUGCCGCUGCCACCACUCACCGGCGCUCUCCCCCACAGCCGCCGCCGCCACCGCCACCAGUGCCCUCCCCCACAGCCUGCACCCCAGCCCUUCUCUCCUCCGCUCACCUUAUCCCCACCACCGGUGAGCUCCUCCUCCCCCCCUCCCCGCUCGCCCCAGAUCGAGCAGCAGGUUAGGGUUCACGGCCACGGCGGCGCGAGCGCUCCGAUGCAGGUUCAAGCCGCUUGAGGUGGCUGCUUGCUGCAGCUCUUACCCUUGUGCCAAGGCCAUGGACAAGUGGAGCAGCCCCAACCCUAGCCCUUCUUCGGCCAUGGCGACCUAGCAAGCAGGAGGUUGCCAACACAAUUGGCAAGAGCUACAAUCUGAUGAAAUUUCUCCCUGAACAAAGCUUGAGGAACCUGAAGUCUGCAGUCCUUCAGUCACAAGGCGUCCGAUGCUUGGUUCUAGAUGAUUGCAAGAGGUUGCUUGCUCUUGUUAGAGCUAAAAAAAG